UACGUAGGGUGCGAGCGUUGUCCGGGAUUAUUGGGCGUAAAGGGCUCGUAGGCGGUUUGUCGCGUCGGGAGUGAAAUCCACUGGCUUAACUGGUGGCUUGCUUUCGAUACGGGCAGACUGGAGGUAUGCAGGGGAGAACGGAAUUCCUGGUGUAGCGGUGAAAUGCGCAGAUAUCAGGAAGAACACCUAUGGCGAAGGCAGCUCUCUGGGACGGUACUGACGCUGAGGAGCGAAAGCGUGGGGAGCGAACAGG
rnacentral:rRNA from 1 species